AACAAACACUUCCUUUUGGUUGCAUAUAAUAGGCAACUUCACAAGGAGCCAAUGUGUGGAAGGAUGGGGAUAGAGUUUUAGAUUUAAAUUCAAACUUUUUAAAUUCAAUUUAAAAUCAAUCAAAUUCUAUCCUUAAUGGGUGAUAAAAGAAGGAUUUUGGCAUGAAUUUUUCAGUGCACAAACCAAGUUAUGAGAUGAAAGAAGGCGU
rnacentral:lncRNA from 1 species